GAUGAACGCUAGCUACAGGCUUAACACAUGCAAGUCGAGGGGCAGCGGGAAGGAAGCUUGCUUUCUUCGCCGGCGACCGGCGCACGGGUGCGUAACGCGUAUCGAACCUACCCUUUACUCGGGAACAGCCUUGCGAAAGCAAGAUUAAUGCCCGAUGUUCCGCGUUUGCCGCAUGGCAAAUUCGGCAAAGAUUUAUUGGUAAAGGAUGGCGAUGCGUCCCAUUAGCUUGUUGCGGGGUAACGGCCCACCAAGGCGACGAUCAGUAGGGGUUCUGAGAGGAAGGUCCCCCCANAUUGGAACUGAGACACGGUCCAAAACUCCUACGGGAGCAGCAGUGAGGAAUAUUGGUCAAUGGGCGAGAGCCUGAACCAGCCCAAGUAGCGUGCAGGACGACGGCCCUAU
rnacentral:rRNA from 1 species